GAUUAAUUCGAUGCAACGCGAAGAACCUUACCUGGGUUUGACAUACACCGGAAAGCCGUGGAGACACGGCCCCCCUUGUGGUCGGUGUACAGGUGGUGCAUGGCUGUCGUCAGCUCGUGUCGUGAGAUGUUGGGUUAAGUCCCGCAACGAGCGCAACCCUUGUCCUGUGUUGCCAGCGGAUUAUGCCGGGGACUCGCAGGAGACUGCCGGGGUCAACUCGGAGGAAGGUGGGGACGACGUCAAGUCAUCAUGCCCCUUAUGUCCAGGGCUUCACACAUGCUACAAUGGCCGGUACAGAGGGCUGCGAUACCGUGAGGUGGAGCGAAUCCCUUAAAGCCGGUCUCAGUUCGGAUCGGGGUCUGCAACUCGACCCCGUGAAGUCGGAGUCGCUAGUAAUCGCAGAUCAGCAACGCUGCGGUGAAUACGUUCCCGGGCCUUGUACACACCGCCCGUCACGUCAUGAAAGUCGGUAACACCCGAAGCCGGUGGCCUAACCCUUGUGAAGGGAGCCGUCGAAGGUGGGGAUACGGCCGAGUUGGAACCGAAGGCUAAAACAGGUAGCCCGCA
rnacentral:rRNA from 1 species